UUGUGCUGAAUGUAUUUGAACUCAAAAUUGAAAAUGAUUUAAAAGGAUUUUGAAAUGAGUUUCAAAUGGCUUUGGGAAUAAAAGAAAAACAAAAGAAAAGGAAAACCUCUCCCUCUCUACUUCUGGCCUGAAGGCCCAAGUCUCUCCCCAGGCCUGGCCUGUUUCUACAGUCCGCAAGUGCAGCAGCAGCUCCCACCGAGUGGCCUAGCUGCCCUCUCUCUCUCCCACGUGGGCCUGCGACAUCUCUCAGCCCAAUAGCAGCUCGUCCUAGCGCACCUCCCUCUCCUUCUCUCUUCUCUCGCUGACCGACAGACCCCACUCCCUAUCUCGCUAACACUUUGGGCCCAUCUGUCAGCUGGCUUCUUCAACCUCAAGCCGUGACCGGCUUGGACUCUGCCGUAUCGCCCGAGCAGGUUUUCCGCAUGAUUGAGGGCGAGUGCUUAUGCUCGGGCCUCUUAAAUACCGAGCCCCUUCCCUAAUAGCCUUCCCAAUCGAGCCCUAGCUCUUCGUGUUGAGCCCUAGCAGAGCCGCAAUAG
rnacentral:lncRNA from 1 species